rnacentral:rRNA from 1 species
CGAACGGGUGAGUAACGCGUGAGCAACCUGCCUAUGACAGUGGGAUAGCCUCGGGAAACCGGGAUUAAUACCGCAUAAAAUCGUAGAAACACAUGUUUUAACGGUCAAAGAUUUAUCGGUCAUAGAUGGGCUCGCGUCUGAUUAGCUAGUUGGUGAGAUAACAGCCCACCGAGGCGACGAUCAGUAGCCGGUCUGAGAGGAUGAACGGCCACAUUGGAACUGAGACACGGUCCAA